AGUGAGCUGUAAAAUAAUUUAGAGUGGAAAGGACUUUUGGAGGUCAUCCAGUCCAAACCACUGCUAGAAGUAGGGUUUACUUCUAAGAAAUUAAAUCAGGUUGCUCUGGGGCUUGCUUUAUACACCAGAUUUUAAAUCCAGCUUACAAAGAAACCUUUUCAUGAAAACUGGAAUGCAGUUAUCAGUCUGGAAAUGUUAUGCACUCCCACUGUAAGGAGUCCAUUAGUAUAAAAACUUUCCAGAACUGUGCUGUGUUAACCUUUAAAUGAAACACUUCCUCCUUACCACUUUCAGCCAAAUAGUCACCUGGAUUCUGCGCAGUUACUUUGGCCAGGACUCACCUCAUCUAAAUUGAAUCAUGUAGUGUAUCAUCUGAACUGUCAAUGGUUGGCAGACAGAUAUGAGUGUCCCAGGGGAAAAUUUCUUCCUGAGAGCUGUAAGGCUGAAGUAGGUUGUCCUCUCCACUGAAUACAGAGGCCACAGCAACAACCUACUGUGACUUCAGGCCCAAAUUUUAGAUGGCUUAAAGUUAGACAAGUUGAAUCCUACCGUGAGUACUCAGUACUGCAGACUGGCUCUGUUCUUGCAAAUUAGGCUAUAAACUCUUUGAGAGUUGGAAUGAUGCCUUGUCAUUUGAUACAUUCAGCUGUACAUGUAGAAAUAUUAAUGUUCAUUAGAGUAAUAAAGCAGGAUUGAACCCAGAUGAGUAAUGCUCAGUCAGCUUCUGUUGCAGUUCAUGGCAAAACUCCAGGGAAAUAUACCAAUCCUACUGUUUUGGGGUGUGAGCAAAAUACACACAGACUAAGGAGCCUUUUUCACUUGAGGUUUAGAGAAUUCUUUGAAAAUUAGGAAAGUUAUACACAGUUCAGAAUGAUAGUAGCAGAAAAGUGAUUUGGACUUUCUAUAUCCCUGUCUCCCCCUGUUGCCAAUUUCGUUUCCAUUUUAAUAGGCCAAAUGUAAAAGUCUCUUUUAAUUAUGUUGUCACUCAACCUGUAGUUGUAGUUGCCCUUUUAUCUCUAGUCCAUCUUCUCACAUUACUGCUCUGUAGUGCUGUGAUGAAAGUUUCAAAGUUCAGGAUAGCAAUUCAUAGCAACCGAAGUUAAAUAAAUGUACUUAAGUAGACAAUAAAACAAUAACACUACUGUGUGCACUGAAUUUUCCAGGGAAGAUGGGAACAGAAAUGGGAGCCUACUGGGAAGAGGGCUUGAAGUUCUUUGUGUGAACUGUUUUGCUGUUAGCAAAUGCUGAAUCACAGAGCAUUCAGGUUUCCUUUGGGAAAUAUUUCCUACAGAUUUCUUUGACUAACCCUUUCAGCAACAAGGUUUUCACAUCCUGGAUUGAAUUUCUGGUGAGAGCAAGGGACAGAACAAGUGCCCUGUUGACUGGGAAUGGUUCCUAUUUGAACAAAUAAUUUAAGUCCUGCAUAAGCAGGGAAGGAGCCAUUUAGUCUGCUUAUGAUGGCACUCAUCACCUGGACUGCAGAAAAUGGAGACGUAAGUCCCUGGUUUUUAGUGUAAAGUAGAGGGACUUUGCCCCAUUUUGCAAUUUCAGGUGCAUACAUAACAGCUACCCUGCUGUUAAGUAUGCAAUUACUUAAAAAUACAUCACUCUCAUAUACAUGCUAAUAUUAAACAGUCUCAUUUUCACUGUGAUGCAGCAAACUCCAAAACAAAUACCAAAAUCCUGAUGUUGUUUCUGAAGAUUGUUUUCUGACCAGUGAGAAGGAAGAAACCAAAUAGUGGCUUUUGGGCAGAACAGCUCCAGUGGUUCUGCACUCAGUCAAAAGAGAGGAAAAUAAGAAAGACAGCCCAAGGAGAGUGAUCUAAUCACAGGCUCACACCUAUUCUGCCAUGUACAUUUUAACCUGCCCAGUGAAUGGCUGAGCAUUGUGUUGCUAUAAAUCCACUCCCCUUUGACAACCACACUAAAGUAGGGGACGUUGACUUACAUGUCUUGGUAUAAUUAAAUGCAACAGUAAAAUAAAAAAACUGUGAGUUAAAA